rnacentral:rRNA from 1 species
UACAGAGGGGGCAAGCGUUGUUCGGAAUUACUGGGCGUAAAGGGCGCGUAGGCGGUUUAUCAAGUCAGGCGUGAAAUUCCCGGGCUCAACCUGGGGGCUGCGCUUGAUACUGAUUGGCUUGAAUGCGGGAGAGGAUAGUGGAAUUCCCAGUGUAGAGGUGAAAUUCGUAGAUAUUGGGAAGAACACCGGUGGCGAAGGCGGCUAUCUGGCCCGUAAUUGACGCUGAGGCGCGAAAGCGUGGGGAGCAAACAGG